AAGAUAAAAGAAAAAUUUCAAAUUAAAAUUUGCUUCAAGCAAUAAUAUUGAUUAAAUAAAAUCGAUAGAUAAACCGAUUAGAUUACCUGUAUCGUUCCAUUUGUUAGUUGCAUAACUACAGCAGUCUGUGUCCUAAACCAUUGAUGCAUAUAAGGUAUUCUUGAUAAGGAAUCGCCUUGUUUUAAAGCGAUCGAUCCACCGGCUUUCAUUAAAUGCUCGUUCAUGUAUUUGAGGAAAAAAUUCAUUAACUUCAUUUUCUUGUCUAAAAUAGUUGGAUAUUCUUGAACGGUAUAAUAUAAUUCAUUUCCAUCGCGAUUUAUAUAAUGGAUAUUGAAACCAUUGGCCAGCAUUAUCAGUCUUGUACCAUCGUUAAACAUAACACCUACUCCAUCAUCAGACAAUUGAUAUCCAAAUCCAUAUUUAUCAGAAUAAUCAACCCAUUUACUUAUCCAAAUUAAAGGCUGUGCAGCUGGAUCAGUCAUUUCAUCUAUAAUGGUUUAAAAGAAGAUAAUAUUAUAUUUGAAAUGUAAUAUUAUAAUAAUAUAUAAUAAAGUGUUCUAACUGAAGAACUAUUCUAUAAAUUAAUUCAAGUAUUAUGAAAUUUCUUCCAUCUUUAUAAAUCCUGGAGGAAUUGAAGGAAUGAUUCGAUUAAUAUAAAUCUCAACAAAUGAAGGUGAUUAGUCAUAUAACGUAAAAAGGAAAGAAUAUGCAUGCCUGAGGGUUCCAUAAGGAUCUGGAAUGGUUUUGGAUAUUCUGUAGAAAAGAAAUUAUUUCUUUUAUAACAUGUUUUUUACGUGCUGGACUACUUGGCACACGGAACGUAUUAUCUUCUCCAUCUCCACCGGCAUUAAGAUUCAUUUCGGAUAAAGGUUUACGUUGAUUAUGCAUCUCUAACAUAUCCAAACGUGGUGGCAUUGUUAAACACGAAAGUGGCAAACUUGUUGGCAAAUGGCCUAAAAAUAAUAUUGAUAAAUAAUUGCACUUACAUAUUGUACCAUUCAUUGUAUAUAUGAUAUAAUCCAAUGAUUUUAUUACCAGACGUAAAAAAGAUAUCUUUUAUUAAUUUAGAUACAGGAGGACGUUUUGAGGGUGUCCCUUGUAGCAUACUUGUAAUCAUUGUCAUGGCAGGUUUACUUAGAUGUGAAGGUGUUUUAUAUUGAACUUGUUUAAUUCUAUUAUAUGUUUCUUUUAAAGUUGAUGUUUCAAAUGGAGGUUUACCGACAAGUAAAGUAUACAUUAUACAACCUAUGCUCCACACGUCAACUUCAUAAGAAUGUCCUGCUUUAGUUAAAAUUUCUGGAGCAAUAUAAUUUGGCGUUCCACAUAAUGUUCUAUAAAAAGUUGAUACGUUAUUCUCAUUUAUUAUCAAACAAUAUUUUUUUUUUUUUUUGCUUUAUAUCACAUAAUCUUCAGCAAUUACUUUUUUCUUUCUCCAUCAUGCUCCAAUCUUGUCGCCAGUCCAAAGUCACCAAUUUUAACUUGUAGAUCAUCAUUUAAGAAUAAAUUACCUAAUUUUAGAUCUCUAUGUAUAAUUCUAUUUUGAUGUAAAUAAUGUACACCUUCUAAAAUUUGUUUCAUAUAAUACCUAGUCUCACAUUCUGAAAGUGCUUUUCUACGUUUAUGUAGCUCCAUCAUUGACUAAAAAAUAAUUCUAAAGAUAUAAAAAUUUGUCUAAAUAAUAUCAUUACAAAGGUAUACCAAUUAACUUACUCUUUUACGGCAAAGUUCAAGAAUAAUAUAAAUAUUUUGUGCAUCAUCAAAAAAGCCAUAAAAUCCAACAAUGUUUCUGUGAUUUAAACUCUGAUGUAUUGCAAUUUCUUGCGUCAUUUUUUCCCUUUGAUUACUUUUUGUCAUUAUCGAUUUGGAUACAAUUUUUCCCGCAAAAACAUGAUGAGAUUUUGAUUCUCUGAUUUCAUAACAUCUAGCAAAUCCACCCUUUAAACGAUAAAAACAAAAUACUCUAUUAUAAUAUUAUAAAUAUAUUUCAUAUGUUUUAAUUUUCAAUAAUAAAUUAAAUGUCCAAUAAAUGAGAUCAAAAUACAUUUUUGGUUAUUAUAUUUUAUGAACAUAUUUUUAAAAUUUUACAAAAAUUCUACUUAAAUAAUAGGAAUAUUAAAGUAUGAAUUCAAGCCAAUGAAAUAAAAAUUUGAAUUCAUAAAAGAACAUACAACUUUCAUACAAUUUCAUACAAACAUACGUAUAGCAACAGGUUGUUAUUCAGACAUUACACUUCAUUCACAAUAUGAUACAGAUCAAAUUUUAAUUAUUGAUAAAGUGCAUAAAUGUAGAAUUAUCAGAUUGAAAUAAUUAGAACAUUAUUGAAAUAUGAU